UUUUUAUAAAACCGGUUAAACAAAUCGCAAAACUACUUCUGCAUUAGCGAAUAUUAAAGGUAGUACUUUUUACAGUUCUCAACGAGUGAGUAGUGCAGGUUGAAUUGCACGCGGUAGUUGUGAUUUAAGUAAAAAAACCAAGGAAAGCUUACAUGCUGGAAAGCCACUUACCUUGGUGAAGGACAAUGGUAGUUUUUAGGAUGCGUUUCUCGUGGAGUCCUUGAAAUAAACAGUAAUUAACAAAAAGCACCUAUUUACACGAAAAGUCCUGAUGUAACAACACGAUUCAAACCUGGAGCACACAACUGGAAGGUUCACGUUUGUCAGAAAUUAUGACGACUGCUUCCAUGCUUUUCGAGUAUCACAUAAUGCGUGAUUAUCACACUGCGCGAUCCACAUAAUAACGAAUUUCAUC